CUUGGAGCGGGAACGUUGAAGCCUAAUGCCAACUAGGCUAGCCGUUGGGAGAUUCAUACAAUAAUCUUCCAGGAAGGAUUCAUAGAAAGAGCUAUAAUUAGAGGCAAUUGGGGGAUUCAUAGAUUAGACCAUUGGGAGAUUCAUACAUUUGAAGCCUCUAACUAAGGAAAACGAAGGGGCAAGUAAAUCAGGGCAAGAGAGGGAACAGGAUUUGCAUUUGCAUUGGAGUGUUGUGUCAGAGUGAAGUGUUGAUGGAUUUGCAUUGGACUGUUGUGUCAUUGGGCAGACGGAUUCAUACAAUAAUCUAACAGGAAGGAUUUAAACAAAGAGCUAAAAUUAGGGGCAACUGGGAAAUUCAUACAGUAGUAAUCUAUACGACGAUUGGGAGAUUCACACAGUAAUCUAUACGGCCUCCAAAUAAAGGAAAAAGAAGGGGCGAGCAAAACCAUGGCAGUGGGACUGGAAUCUGUGUUUAAUCUGGAAGGUGCUAACAGCUGAUGUAUCGCACCAUCAAAUGAUUAUCUCUUGGAAAGAUUUAGAAACCAAGGCCCUGCUAAAGAUCCAAAUAUGCAAUGAACUUCUUCAUUCUUAAAGGCAUUGUUCCUAUAAAGGGCUUGAUAGUGAGCUGGUUGUGAUUAAUCAGUGACAAUUUAAAAAAAGGUUUGGACAAGUGAGAACUUGAACACACAGAAUUCAUUGAAAGAUUUGUUCAUGACAAUGAGAACUUGAACACGAAGACUUCAAAAUGAAGGGAUCAUUUAUGGUAUUGUUUAAUAGUGGAAUGAAAUUACAAAAUAUGUAACAUUCAUUUUAGACCGGUUAGUUUUUCUUAUUGUAAACGUCCCUCAACAAUUAUAAUUAAUAAAGAUACA